rnacentral:lncRNA from 1 species
GCCGCGGCCAGGGCGGGCUGCGGCUCCCGGGCCUCCGCCUCUUCCCCGUGCAACACCAGCCCCUCCGCCACUGUCAAGAGAGAUGGUGAUGAGCCUUUCCAAAAAGAGGGAGAGGAAUGACCUGCCUUAAGAUAAACGCGUGAAGCGGGCGCCCCUUGGCCGUUGGAAUAUUUCUUGUCUGUCUUUAUAUAUAAAGAAGCACCGCGAGCCGCCUCACUCCGGGCGAGCCCUCAGCAAAGGAGCAACGCGAGCGCCCGGCGGGAUCAUCAUCAUCAACAACAACAACAACAAGGGCACCGGGAGGGCUUCCCUCCUUCCUCCUCGGUGACUUCCCAGAUCACCCUCUGCAUGGCAGGAAAGAGAAAGACACAUGGGAUGAUGGAGUUCCUUUACGCACACCUCUCCAAAACUUCAGUGCAGCAUAUUUUCCACAAAUGGAGUGACUAUGAGAGAAACCUUUUAAUUUUCUUUCUCUUUCUCACUCACAAUUUUGCUAAGUAAAGAAGAAAAUGUGGAUGUUAAAUACACAAUUUUGGAUAUAUGCUGGUUGAGGAUGAGGCUUAGAGGGGAAGAUGAAUAAGAUGGGGAGAGGAGGUUUGAAUGUGACUGACAGUGGAUUAUAACUGCCUACAGGAAGUUAUUUUUAUCAGAUCAGGUUUCCCUUUAACAUUGUCUUCAACCUAAAGAAUUUUGGUAUAAGAGCUUUUAAAAUCCCUGCCCAGUCGCAAGUCGUACAAGCAUGUGUUGAUGAGAUCUGAGGUCCUACAGAAAACACCAUUUAGGAUACAGUGAUAGCAUCCUCUAGCUUUCAUUGUUUGACAUCUCCACAGAUAGCUUACACACAGAAUACAAUGCACGCUUUUGAUUUAAUUUAUUUGCAGUAUCAUUUGAUCCCGGUCAAUAGUUCGACCCACUUAAAUAGCAAGCAGGGGAAAAAAUGAAACCAGUUUUGAGUAAGUCUUUCUCAGUCAAGUGGGUUGUCUGGCAAGCCAAGAGUAUAAUAAAUAGAUUUGGUGGCUAUUUACA